AAACCAUGUUGUGGGCAUGAAUUGACAAGAUCCUUGAACUGCUCCCAACAUUGGAAAAAUGUUUCAUCUUCCUUUUAGGCGAAGUUCAAGAUCAACUUUCUAAGGGU